rnacentral:tRNA from 1 species
GGCAAGGUGGCCGAGCGGUCUAAGCCGUCAGGUUCAGGUUCACCUUAGCAGUCAAGCUUCACAGCUUCCUCAUCAUCAUCAGAUGGCGUGGGUUCGAAUCCCACCCUUGUUA